rnacentral:lncRNA from 1 species
GGAGGGAGGGAGGGAGGGGGGCAGGGGCUGCGGGGGGCGCCCCCUCGCCUCGCACCUCCGGACAGGUGUGCCCCGCCCCCGCCCGGCCUCGGCGGUGCGCGUGCGUGCGUGCGCUUUCAGGUAAUUUCCGAGUAAUUGGCUCAGGACAACUUUCCACUUUGGGAAGCGGUUUCAGCGAAAUCCUGUCGAGCAGCUAGUUUUCGACACGUUCUUUCGGAGACCAGUGACUUCGCGUACAUUUUUUUUUUCUUUUUUUUUUUUUUGGAGCAGCGGGUGCGAGGCGGGCGGAGCGCGCGGUGCCACAGGUUCGCGGAGGGGCGGGGCGGGGGCCGCGGGCGGGCGGAGAGGGCGGCGCGGGGCGCGGGGCGCGGGGCGGGGGCAGCCGCAGGCCGUGCGCGCCGCCGGGCCCUGAGGCUUCUCGGGCUGGAGAAGUUCCCGCGGUUUUGUGCGGCCCCGCAAGGAGCAUCGCCCAGGCGCCCGGAGAGAGGGGGAGGGAGAAGCCGGACCCGACCCCGCGCCUCCCUGCGCCCUGGAGCCGUCGUGCACGGACACCAGGGAUCCAGUACUACACCACCUACAGACAAGCGUACCACAUGGAGCAACAGCCCGUCUACAAGUGCUGCCCUGGUUGGAGCCAGUGGGACAAUGAACCUGGCUGCCUAUGCUGCGGUGGGAACAUGUUUCAAAGGAAGGAGGUGCUCAGACGGCGAGGCCCAGCAGAGCCAGUAUUCAGAGGGUUUUCAAGGCCCCCACUGUCAAUAUGAACUCCAUGAAGAGGUCUUGGGCUAAUUUAUUCAAUAUAGUGCCAAACGGCCGUGGAACAUUAGAUUGACUGAUGAUUUUCUCUCUCAGAGAUGUCAGUGGAAACAUUCCUAACUGCCCGAGGCAGUCAUAUGCCACAGCUGGCACCAUAUUUAAACUACUUCCCCACGUAAGUGCAUAAUUUUGUCACCUGGUGAUAAAGAGCAAAGAGCUACAAAAGGAAAUUUUGCAAAAAAUAGUCUUAUUUUCACUUAGCUAAUGCUGCAACUCUGUCAAUUAGGCCUUUUUAGGUAGAUGAAAACAUUUGUGUGCCAAUUAAAUAACUUAGCAAAUUUCAGCAAGACUCAGCAAAAUUCAGAAUGCCAUUUCCUAAAGAUGCAGCCCCAUUCUUGUUAAACAAAGAUGAUCAGAUGCCAUCUAGGACAUUUAGUGGCUCCUCAGAUACUGAAAAAUUUUAAGUCAAAGAAAAAGCACCACUCUUAACUAAGGAAAGCCAAAAAAAGGUAACAAGGGAAACCAAAAUAUUAAAAACAUGAAAUAAUUUUUCAAAAAUAUGUAUACUGGAGGAGAAAUGAUAAAUUAACUUGAAAUGGUAAAUCUUUUCAUUUUUUAUUUCAAAGUGUAGCUCUG